AAGUCGUAACAAGGUUUCCGUAGGUGAACCUGCGGAAGGAUCAUUAACACGUUUCCAAACGUAUCAACCAACCGUGAACCUGUUCGAUGCUACAUCAGCUGACGAGUAGUCUAACUAUUCGCCGGCUGGCUAUUUGCUUCAUACGAAUUUCACCUCUCCUUUUUGCUAGUUGACUUUGACUGAAUUUGCCUGCACCGCCUUGUGCGACAGACAAAUUUAUGUUUGACUUAAUCAAACGAAAUCAACAACUCUUAGCGAUGGAUAUCUUGGUUCUC
rnacentral:misc_RNA from 1 species